ACUGGGUUCCUUAUCUGGUUCUGAACUCGGAUGGGAACUGGGGAGCUAGACAGCUCUGGGCCACCAUUUCCCCAGAAUACUCACACCUCUGCCCUGAUUGCUCCUGAUCUUGCUCCGGGGAGGUCCGGGGAGACCCUCAGCACAGGACUCUGCUCCCAAAGUGUCCCUCUGACUGGGCCACCAUAGGCGUCACAUGGGCAGUCACAGCAAACAGCUCAGCGGCGAUGGGGGUGUCGCUGUGACCAAAAACCACUUCGUAUGAUCCUGUCACUGAGUAGAUGUGGUCCUCAGAAACGUAACUAGACGUAUUAGCAAGAAGUAUGAUUUGGUUAGAAGAAAUUCGUGCAAAUCACAUGUGACAACGUUGCCUUCCUCAGAUAGCUAGCUUUGUUAUCUCUCAAUGCAAUGUGCAUAUUUGCAGGUCAUAUGUCUAAAUUCCAUGAAACGCAGCAUUAUUCUCUUAUUAGUCAAAACCCUAUGCCCCUAGAGAACAGUCCUUGCUCUUAUGACUAUCAUAUAUUGGGAAAAUAACUCAUCCCCUACUCAGAACAGCAGCAUUCCCCACCCCACAACAAAAGAGAUGCAAGAAGCAAGAGACAGAGGAAGGAGUCAGGCCACAGGAAUCCCCCAGCAUAGACUGGCCAGCCAAUGCACGGAGGGGCGACAGACACCUUCCCACAGGUCUCCCUCUCGUUCCAAAAUGGGAGAAAGACAGCGAGCUUAUCAAACUCUUCUUCUAGUGAAGCCAUUCUUCUGAGCCUAAUUCUGGAAAACCUCGGUCCUUGUUCUGGUCAUUCAGCUUUAUAACUGUCCUAGACAUCCUGGUGGUGCCUCUAACCUUUUCUGAGCAUGAAGCUGCCCUUCUGGGCUCAGCAAGUCCUUCCAUGAAUUGGCUCCUAUGUUUCUUCUUCAUAUUUUUAUGCUCGAACAAAGUGUUUAUACAUUAAUCCAUGACUUCGACAGCCCACCCUGGGGGAAGUCCCCGGAGGGGUCAUCCUGCUACUAAAGAGGGUGACCUCCUGACCUGGGUCUCCUGUUUUCUGCAAAGCAUCACAGUGAAGAUUAAAUGAGGAUCCUUCUCGUCACCACAAAACAUCCUUAAAAGGUAUUUUGGAAGAGGAACGGGAGAGGCCAUUGCAGUCUUUGAAGAUGAAAGGACGUGGAAUGGAGAAGGAGACAAUUCUGGGACAUUCCAAGAGAAACGAAUGAGCACAAGGGGAACUUAAAGCUGGAAAACAGGCAAAAAUGCACACAUCCCCUGAGAGUUGGACGUCUGAGCCCGUUCGUGGGGGGAUAUAGAGUGCAGGGGGAGCAGGGUGAGCUUCCACCAUGCAGACCUGAAUUCAAAUCUCACUGAGGCACAAUCAGUUGUGCAAAACGGGGCACAUUCCAUGAAGCCUGUGGGCCUCAGUGUCCUCACCUGCAAGAUGGAGGCGCGAGCACGGAUCUCAUGGCUUUGUGGGGAUUGGAGGGGCCGGUUCAAGUAAUGUCUGUGCUCAGAGGUGCUCACGGUGAAUACGGGGCAGGCUGUGCUCUGUGGCUGCAUAGAGACACGGGGAUCUAAGCAUGGCCUCUUGUCUCUUGAGGACAUUCACUUCCCCGGCAGUAACUCUGGCACAGUGUUCUCACGGCACACCCUGCCAACUUCAUAACCUUCGUGAGAUUUGUCGUCCUGAGUGGCGUCCAGUCCCAAGGGUACUUUGGCAUUUAUGACAGUCUGGCUGUCCCCUAAUAGUGGCCACAAGGCAGUCUAAAGUCACAUUGGUUACACUGGACCCUCAGUGAUGGCCUCCGGUCCUCACCAGCCAGCUGCCAACCCAUCAGAGGGAGAAAGGAAUUCUCAAGACCCUCCAUGUAUACUGCAGUUUGAGCAAAUCGAUAGACGUGACAAACAGCCAGUGCUGGGGACUGGGGACAUAUUGAAGGCGUGACUGUGUAAACGCUCGCAGACACAACGCAGGGGACCUUACAGGGCAGGGCUGCGCUGAGGGAGUCUACGGCAAAAUGAGCUGCCCGCUCGGGUCAGGCUUCCCGCCGCGCGAGCGUCUGCGCUCUUGUCCCUGGUAAUUGUUGGUGGCAGCAGAGCCCAGGAGGAGCGAGGGCAGGUCUUCAGCCACACUGGCUCUGCAUUUCAUCGCAGCGCAGGCUGCUGAGCCAUCCUGUCGGUGACCACCUCCCGGAGGGCAGGGCGCCUCGGAAACACCAAGCCCGUCGUCCGGAGUCAAGAGGCCCGCCGUCACAGCCGCGGUGAAUUCUGAGGCUCUCCUGGAGAAAGGCUGGAACAGAAAAUCACUUUGGGCUAUUCUUAAAAUGUUUGCAAUUUCUUCGGUAUCCAGGAAGCAGUUUGUGCUAAAGGAAGGGAAAUAUGUUAAUAUGGUAUUUCUCUUAAAAAGGGAAGAUUUGAGAGAUACAAUCUGAAAAAUUUAAACUUAUGUCGACAACUGACAAGUACGAUGGUAUUCCAAUAAUUUUAAUACUGAAUUUUAAUAAUUUUGAUAUGUGGGUUUUCGUGACUUCUAUCAUUUGUGAGUAUAUUUCUAUUUUCCUAAAAGUGUAGUUUUUUUUGAAAAAAAUUAUGGUAGACUAUUACUAGGCAACUGCCAUAAUUAUACUUUGACAAGGGACUCACAAUUUUGUGACUGAAAUGAUCAUUUAUUUCUCAAAAAUUUCUGUUUUAAUAAUUAAAUAUAUUGCUUUUUAGAUUCUUUAAAUCUUUAAUUUAAAUGUAAAAGGGAAAUAAAAUUAUUUAAUAAUUGUGUGAUUAUAGUAAAAUG
ensembl:lncRNA